rnacentral:rRNA from 1 species
CACGUAGGGCGCAAGCGUUGUCCGGAAUUAUUGGGCGUAAAGAGCUCGUAGGCGGUCUGUUACGUCUGCUGUGAAAACCCAGGGCUUAACCCUGGGCUUGCAGUGGAUACGGGCAGACUAGAGGCAGGUAGGGGAGAAUGGAAUUCCCCGGUGUAGCGGUGAAAUGCGCAGAUAUCGGGAGGAACACCGGUGGCGAAGGCGGGUCUCUGGGCCGAUACUGACGCUGAGGAGCGAAAGCGUGGGGAGCGAACAGG